rnacentral:siRNA from 1 species
AUGCCAAUUUGAGGAACAUAGUCA